UCACAACAUCCAAACAAGUGAAGAACACUCUAGGAGGUAGGCAUAUCAUUAUCCAAGUCUACCAUGCAGAUAUGGCACUCUCUGCUACCUACCCCAGGUAAACUUAGGUUAAAAAUAAUAUCUAACCAAAAAAAGGCAUUAGUUUCAUAACUGGUUCAUAACUGUUCUCUCUGCUUACCCCUCCCGGAGCCUUCCUUCUCCCCUUCAUAACCACACUGAUGGGGCUUGGUUUCUUUUAGCUGCACCCUGUUGGGGCUGACUGGGCGAGCUGUGUUUUCAGUCCUCUCCAGGCAUCACGCAGCGCUUCUAAGGAGACACCUAUUUCGCAUCAACGGAAUGCCCCUCCCUCUCCUGCCCCAUCUCAACAUUUCUAAAGAUUGAUUGAAAUGACAUUCAUCAGAGUGAGAGUGUGGUGAGGGAGAGAGAGAACACAACACGGUUACUGUAAAAGGUUACCAGCUCCACAGAUCCAUGGCAACCAUCAGUCAUGGCCAGAGCAUGGAGAAAAGAAAGAACACAUACACAGGAUUGUAACCCAGCAUGGGCAAUAUCAAGGCUACAAGUUUAUCUGCAGAGACACUGAUGUUCCUGUGUCCACUGUACACAAUGUUAUCAAUAAAAGAAAUUAGAUGGAAGAUCGCAGCGAAGGAAUUAUCAGAUGGUGGAGAAAGCACCUCCAUCAACUGCUACAUAGAUUUAAGCUGAUCUUCAUUCACAACACACACAAGUUUCUAUUGGCACCACCCGUUGCCAACUCACUGAAAGAGGGUUGUGUGGUAGGAGACCCAGGAAGACCUCAACUCUGAGAGGAAGACAUAAGAAUGUUUGACUGCAAUUUGCCAAAACUCACCUGAGCAUGCCACAAUCCUGGGACAAUCUCCUUUGGACAGAUGAGACCAAAUCCUAACAUUUUGGCAAAGCACACCAUCUUAACAUUUAUAGAAAACAAAAUGAAGCCUUCAAAGAAAUGAAUACCUUCCCCGCAGUCAAACAUGGAGGAGGUUCAGUGAUUCUUGGGAUAGCUCUUUGGCACUGGGUGUUGAGAACGUGUGCAUGGUAUGAUGAAAACAGGAGAAAAACGAGGCAUUUUGAAGAGCAAUGUCAAACCCUCUGUCAGAAAGCUGGGUCUCCCUUAAAUGUCAUAGGUGUUCCAGUAGGGCAGUGACCCCCCCAAAUACUUAAAAAAGCACCCAAAAAUGAAGACAAAAUGCUGAACUGGUCUGAAGUGGCCAUCAAUGAGUCCACAUCUAAAUCAUAUUGAACAAUUUGGGAGAGAUCUGGAAACAGCAGUUGGGAGGCACCCUUCGAAUCUGGGACAACUGGAACUAUUUGAAAAACUGCCAAUACAGAGGUGCAGGACGAUCAUCCAUGGACAUAGAAAGCACUUGAUAGAAGGUUUUUUGCCAAAUAAUGUGCUACUGAUUCAUCUGUCUGUGUUGUCAAUAAUUUUGUCUAUGCAAUUUAUUUUCAUCUUCUGAUUUCAACAUAUAAAUAAGUUCUCUAUCAAAAACAAAGGUU